rnacentral:rRNA from 1 species
GACGAACGCUGGCGGCGUGCUUAACACAUGCAAGUCGAACGGAAAGGCCCUGCUUUUGUGGGGUGCUCGAGUGGCGAACGGGUGAGUAACACGUGAGUAACCUGCCCUUGACUUUGGGAUAACUUCAGGAAACUGGGGCUAAUAUCGGAUAUGAGCUCCUGCUGCAUGGUUGGGGUUGUAAAGUUUCGGCGGUUGGGGAUGGACUGACGGGUUAUCAGCGUGUUGGUGGGGUAGUGGCUUACCAAGGCUUUGACGGGUAGCCGGCCUGAGAGGGUGACCGGCCACAUUGGGACUGAGAUACGGCCCAGACUCCUACGGGAGGCAGCAGUGGGGAAUAUUGCACAAUGGGCGGAAGCCUGAUGCAGCAACGCCGCGUGCGGGAUGACGGCCUUCGGGUUGUAAACCGCUUUCGCCUGUGACGAAGCGUGAGUGACGGUAAUGGGUAAAGAAGCACAGGCUAAAUACGUG